GAUGAACGCUGGCGGCGUGCCUAAUACAUGCAAGUCGAGCGAACGGACGAGAAGCUUGCUUUUCUGAUGUUAGCGGCGGACGGGUGAGUAACACGUGGAUAACCUACCUAUAAGACUGGGAUAACUUCGGGAAACCGGAGCUAAUACCGGAUAAUAUUUUGAACCGCAUGGUUCAAAAGUGAAAGACGGUCUUGCUGUCACUUAUAGAUGGAUCCGCGCUGCAUUAGCUAGUUGGUAAGGUAACGGCUUACAAAGGCAACGAUGCAUAGCCGACCUGAGAGGGGGAUCGGCCACACUGGAACUGAGACACGGUCCAGACUCCUACGGGAGGCAGCAGUAGGGAAUCUUCCGCAAUGGGCGAAAGCCUGACGGAGCAACGCCGCGUGAGUGAUGAAGGUCUUCGGAUCGUAAAACUCUGUUAUUAGGGAAGAACAUAUGUGUAAGUAACUGUGCACAUCUUGACGGUACCUAAUCAGAAAGCCACGGCUAACUACGUG
rnacentral:rRNA from 1 species